rnacentral:tRNA from 1 species
GGCGGAUGUAGCCAAGUGGAUUACGGCAGU